rnacentral:rRNA from 1 species
AUGGCUCAGAUUGAACGCUGGCGGCAUGCCUUACACAUGCAAGUCGAACGGCAGCACGGGAGCAAUCCUGGUGGCGAGUGGCGAACGGGUGAGUAAUAUAUCGGAACGUGCCCAGUCGUGGGGGAUAACGUAGCGAAAGCUACGCUAAUACCGCAUACGUCCUACGGGAGAAAGCGGGGGAUCUUCGGACCUCGCGCCAUUAGAUGAGCCUAGGUCGGAUUAGCUAGUUGGUGAGGUAAUGGCUCACCAAGGCGACGAUCCGUAACUGGUCUGAGAGGAUGAUCAGUCACACUGGAACUGAGACACGGUCCAGACUCCUACGGGAGGCAGCAGUGGGGAAUAUUGGACAAUGGGCGAAAGCCUGAUCCAGCCAUGCCGCGUGUGUGAAGAAGGUCUUCGGAUUGUAAAGCACUUUAAGUUGGGAGGAAGGGUAGUAACCUAAUACGUUGCUACUUUGACGUUACCGACAGAAUAAGCACCGGCUAACUUCGUG